rnacentral:lncRNA from 1 species
AGGUGUAGGAGACUAUUAUCUAUCAGAAGCGGAUGCAGGAGAUAGGUGUAGGAGACUAUUAUCUAUCAGAAGCUAAAGCAGGAGAUAGGUGUAGGAGACUAUUUUCAUGUUCAGCCUGCGUGAAACAGUCAGUGUUACUCAUUAAAAUCAGAAAUAAUCAUUAGAACUUAAUGAUUCAAACAUGAACAAUAAUAAAUAUUUCACCUCCACGUCCAGAAGAGCUGAACUUGAUUCUGUUGAAAACAACUUUUAAUGUUUUUCUACAAACUCGGGUUCCCACCAGAAUCCUGGCGGGCCUGGCGGGCCGGACCGUGGGAGCGGGGAGGGAUUUAUAAAUGCUGGGAAAACCCUGAAACUUCACGGACUUCAGACAGAACGGGAUUCUGGUUCUGAUCUCAUCUGCAGCAGAGCUGCUACGGAAGCCCAGAUGUCCAAACAGGCUAGCACACACUAGAGGUGCUCGCUGUCUCACCUGCUGGAAGGUGGCCUCCUCCAAUCCCUGCCUCCGGAACUCUGCGAUGACUGCUCUGAGGAAGAGCUGCUCCUGCGUCGACGCACACCUGAAACCACACACCGCUCCGUUACUCUGCUCUAGAUCUCAUCAACCAAUCACGAGCGGAGAAGCUCACCUGAUGGCAGUGAUGUAAGAGGAAGAGAACAUCUCCUCCAGCGCCUCCAUCACGUGACCCAUCCCCACCAAUCCUGAAGCAGAGGGGUCGGCGGCCGAGUGCUCACAGAUCUCCGUCGCUCGCCGACAGAUGUCCAAACAUCGCCGCGCGUCGCCCGACAGAGCCGCCACCUGCAGGAGGAGAGGGACGCUGAGCGAGAUGCAGGUGAGCUCAGGGAAGAUGAGGGGGCGGAGCUUACCUUCCUGGACACCAGCUGCAGAGCGUCCUCCUCGAAGGCCUUCACCUUGUUCAGCCGAGAUGUGAUGAUCUGCUGCAGCUGCUUGAAGGAGUACGGCUGGAAGGACAUCCGGGUCAGACCCUAGAACACCAGAACCACACGGGUCAGAGCCUAGAACACCAGAACCACACGGGUCAGACCCUAGAACACCAGAACCACACNGGUCAGAGCCUAGAACACCAGAACCACACAGGUCAGAGCCUAGAACACCAGAACCACACGGGUCAGAGCCUAGAACACCAGAACCACAGCUCGGCGCCGUCUACACCGUGCUAUCGCUGGAACGGGCCUGGGCUCCUGAUUCGGUCGUCGACACAAACUGGUUUUAUUUAUCGGUUAUUUUCUUUGUUCAGAUCUCAAACAGACAUUACUAACAGAGCCCAGAGGAAUGAUGCGACUCAGUCACUGUCUCACCAGCCUGCUGGCCACCCUGUUGAUCAUGAUUCUCUCAGGCAGGUCCAUGGUGUUGGCGAUGGUCAGAACCACCAGGCGGGCGUGGCGGCGCGUCGGCCAGUCGAACAGGUUGUACAUCACGUUCUGCUUCCUCGUCCACAGAAGGUCCAGCUGCAGGAGAGCAGACGUGCAGGAGGGAUGAGAGCGGCUUCAUACAGGAGUCUUGAACACAUUCAUGGAUUUAAGGAACGUUCUAGUCAAGGGAACUUCGAAGGAGUGGAUUAUUUUUAUUAUUUAACGAGUGUUGAACUUACAACUUUAUCCGUCUCAAAGUGGGAACAUUACUGCGCUCCGUUCCUAGAGACAACAGCAAAAGCUCCACUUACCUCAGGAAAAUAA